rnacentral:lncRNA from 13 species
CAGUAGAGCAGUUGGCGUGUCUCAUUUGUAUGAGUUUAUGCCUGCAUUUCACUAGUCGCCAAAUGCAUAUUUAGUGCCAGAUGAGAACAUUUUAACAUGCUUAGAGCGCCACCCACACUGUAGCCUUCAAAGUAGCCUGAGCUCCUACUGACUACCGACUCUGCAGUCUGUCUCUGGAUUCUAAAGACUCCCACAGCAUCAUAAUGAGGCCCCUGACUGGCUCUCUGACUCGGCAGUCUGUCUCUGGAUUCUAAAGACUCUCACAGCAUCAUAAUGAGGCCACUGACUGGCUCCCUGAGAGACCACACUUCAUAUAUACUUCAUUUGUUUGGUUCGUUAUUGCAGUUAUAAGACCAGAGAGUGGGAGAGAGGGGAAGGAAAGGAAGAGGAGGAGAGGCAGUAGUAGAGAGAGAGAGAGAGAGAGAGAGAGAGAGAGGCAGAGAUGGAGGGAGAAAGAGAGAACUACCUAGUUUAAACACUGUCUAUUCAGAAUAACAAUGGCCCCCUCUACUGGUCACUGUGAGGAAACUCACUUUUAUCUGUAGUAAUCCUACUGUAUUUUAAAUGUCUUAAAUGACAGAUGAGGUUGGAGAGGAAUUUCUGAACCUGCAGGCGAAGGACAUCAUUUGAAAGAUCAGUCAUUGAUAGCCUACACGGUUUCUGUCUGGUACAGGUUGGCGGUGGCCAUCUUGAUGGUGCCCAGGAGCAUGGCCUUCGUAGUUGCCGAAUUCUGGAUGUGAGCCCACCGGGACUCCUGAGUGAAGAAGCACACAUGAAGAGGGAGAGAGAUGAGAGAGCUAAAGGAAAGACUGGUCUGUGUGUGCAGCCCUCAUGUCUAUAUUUUGGAAAACAGUUAGGACACUGAAGCCUGGGAAUUCCAUCCCCUUUCCUGCCUAAGUAAGUUGUGUCAGACUCUCAAAUCGUUACUGAGAAAAAUUAGAUAAGUGAUGCUUUUAAUCAGCAUUUUAU